GGAGAAGAGAAAAUGACAAAAGUCAAUAAGAGUUAUUCACUAAACUGAGAAUUGUUGGAGCUUCAAAAUUAAUUAAAAAGUUAAUUUAAAAUGUAAGGUCAAAGUAGCCAAAUCUGGAGAAUGUUUUUAAGUUUGUUUUUGUUUUUUGUUUUUUUUGUCCUUAAAUUAGAAAUUCAAUUUGAAUUCUCAUGUGAAUAACCCUAUCGUUAUAAAGAGAAACAGUCUGGAGAGAAUCUGUGGCAUACAGUGAG